rnacentral:rRNA from 1 species
AUUGAACGCUGGCGGCAUGCUUUACACAUGCAAGUCGAACGGCAGCGCGGGCUUCGGCCUGGCGGCGAGUGGCGAACGGGUGAGUAAUGCAUCGGAACGUGCCCAGUAGUGGGGGAUAGCCCGGCGAAAGCCGGAUUAAUACCGCAUACGACCUGAGGGUGAAAGCGGGGGACCGAAAGGCCUCGCGCUAUUGGAGCGGCCGAUGUCGGAUUAGCUAGUUGGUGGGGUAAAGGCUUACCAAGGCGACGAUCCGUAGCUGGUCUGAGAGGACGACCAGCCACACUGGGACUGAGACACGGCCCAGACUCCUACGGAAGGCAGCAGUGGGGAAUUUUGGACAAUGGGGGCAACCCUGAUCCAGCCAUGCCGCGUGCGGGAAGAAGGCCUUCGGGUUGUAAACCGCUUUUGUUCGGGAAGAAAUCCUCUGGGCUAAUACCCCGGGGGGAUGACGGUACCGGAAGAAUAAGCACCGGCUAACUACGUG